GACGUAGGGCGCGAGCGUUGUCCGGAUUUAUUGGGCGUAAAGAGCUUGUAGGCGGUUUGUCGCGUCUGCUGUGAAAAUCCGGGGCUCAACCCCGGACUUGCAGUGGGUACGGGCAGACUAGAGUGCGGUAGGGGAGACUGGAAUUCCUGGUGUAGCGGUGAAAUGCGCAGAUAUCAGGAGGAACACCGGUGGCGAAGGCGGGAUCUCUGGGCCGUAACUGACGCUGAGGAGCGAAAGCGUGGGGAGCGAACAGG
rnacentral:rRNA from 1 species